rnacentral:rRNA from 1 species
CCUACGGGGCGCAGCAGUGGGGGAUAUUGCACAAUGGGGGGAACCCUGAUGCAGCGACGCCGCGUGGGUGAAGGAGUGCUUCGGCAUGUAAAGCUCUAUCAGCAGGGAAGAAAAUGACGGUACCUGACUAAGAAGCCCCGGCUAACUACGUGCCAGCAGCCGCGGUAAUACGUAGGGGGCAAGCGUUAUCCGGAUUUACUGGGUGUAAAGGGAGCGUAGACGGUCCUGCAAGCCAGAUGUGAAAGCCCGGGGCUCAACCCCGGGACUGCAUUUGGAACUGUAAGGCUAGAGUGUCGG